AAAUGAAUUGACGGGAGCCCGCACAAGCAGUGGAGUAUGUGGUUUAAUUCGAAGCAACGCGAAGAACCUUACCAGGGAUUGACAUCCACGGAAUCUUGGGUAACGCCGGGAGUGCCCUUCGGGGAACCGUGAGACAGGUGGUGCAUGGUUGUCGUCAGCUCGUGUCGUGAGAUGUUGGGUUAAGUCCCGCAACGAGCGCAACCCUUACAGUUAGUUGCUACGCAAGAGCACUCUAACAGGACUGCCGUUGACAAAACGGAGGAAGGUGGGGAUGACGUCAAAUCAUCAUGCCCCUUAAGCUCUGGGCUACACACGUACUACAAUGGCGUUUAACAACGGGAAGCGAAGCCGCGAGGCGGAGCAAAUCCCCAAAAAGCGCCCCAGUUCAGAUUGCAGGCUGCAACCCGCCUGCAUGAAGUCGGAAUUGCUAGUAAUCGCGAAUCAGCAUGUCGCGGUGAAUACGUUCCCGGGCUUUGUACACACCGCCCGU
rnacentral:rRNA from 1 species